rnacentral:rRNA from 1 species
UACAGAGGGUGCGAGCGUUAAUCGGAAUUACUGGGCGUAAAGCGCGCGUAGGUGGUUCAGCAAGUUGGAUGUGAAAGCCCCGGGCUCAACCUGGGAACUGCAUCCAAAACUACUGAGCUAGAGUACGGUAGAGGGUGGUGGAAUUUCCUGUGUAGCGGUGAAAUGCGUAGAUAUAGGAAGGAACACCAGUGGCGAAGGCGACCACCUGGACUGAUACUGACACUGAGGUGCGAAAGCGUGGGGAGCAAACAGG